rnacentral:rRNA from 1 species
GACGAACGCUGGCGGUGUGCUUAACACAUGCAAGUCGAACGGUAAGGCCCUUUCGGGGGUACACGAGUGGCGCACGGGUGAGUAACACGUGAGUAACCUGCCCUCAUCUCUGGGAUAACAGUCGGAAAACGGUUGCUAAUACUGGAUAUGAGCUUGCAAGGCAUCUUGUGGGUUGGAAAGAUUUUUUUUGGUUGGGGAUGGACUCGCGGCCUAUCAGCUUGUUGGUGAGGUAGUGGCUCACCAAGGCUUCGACGGGUAGCCGGCCUGAGAGGGCGACCGGCCACAUUGGGACUGAGAUACGGCCCAAACUCCUACGGGAGGCAGCAGUGGGGAAUAUUGCACAAUGGACGGAAGUCUGAUGCAGCAACGCCGCGUGCGGGAUGACGGCCUUCGGGUUGUAAACCGCUUUCAAUUGUGACGAAGCUUUUUUGUGACGGUAGCAGUAGAAGAAGCACCGGCUAACUACGUG